GUUUAUGGGCAUAGCACGCUGGGCACACCUGAUCUCAGAAGCAAGCAGAGACAGGCCUAGUUAGAACUUGGAUGGGAGCUAAUAUGAUGUGCUCCAUGGGAUUAAUAAAGGCUGCUUUUCUUAAAUA
ensembl:rRNA 5S_rRNA 5S ribosomal RNA